CCUGUCCCUGGGCGUGCGAGGAGGUGGGGCCCUGGGAGGUAAUUAGGUCCCCAGGGCGGAGCCUUCCGGAAGGGAAAGCAGUCAGUGUCCCCAGCGAGGACUCGGCGAGAAGAGGGUCACCUGUGGGUGCCUCGGUCGUGGACUUCUCAGCCUGCGGCAAACGGCGAGGAAACAUUUCCGUGGGAGCCCUCCUCUCAGCCCCUCCAGCACGGAGGCGCCACGUGCCUGAGUCUCCAGGGCAAGCUAGGAGCUUGGAGAGACAGAGACAGCUUUCGGGCAUCCUUAGCAAACUCCUACUCCUAUGUUAAAGCCCUAAGUCUGACAUCCCCUCCUCCAGGAAGACCCUGUCCCUGUCUCUGGGCCUUCCCUGACUUGCAUGGGCCUGGGCCCGCAGUUCCUCUUCCCGGGCCCGAGCGAGCGAGCGGGGUGCGCCCGAGGCCACGCAGGUCCGCAGGGUCGCCCGCGUCCAGGUGAGCCGCGCGCGCAGCCCCGGCCCAGGUGUGGCGGCGGGACCCGCCAGGUAAGACCGAGGCCCCGGACUUGGGGGGCCGCAGACCGGAGCUGGGGGACCCCGUCGGCGGCCCCCACCCCACCCCACCCCACCCCACCCCAGGACUGCCCGGGGACCCCGAAGUUCCCAGAGGAACGAUUAAGGUGGCGCCCCCUCCACACCCCCCGCCGCUUCCAAGGCAACCGCUCAUUUGCAUACGGCCCCGUCCUGGCCAAUGGGGGCGCCCCAAAUGUGGGGGACCUGAGUGAGUCCCCAAAGGGGCUCGUCUGGGAACCGGGAAAGGCUGGGCUCGGCUGCCCCCCUGCCCGCCUUCCCCUAGGCAGGCGCCGGGGAGGGACGUACCCAUUCCCCGGAGGCGGCCACUGAGGCCGCGGGCGCCCAGCCAGGGCCCGCCAGGCGCGGCCUCCGCGUCGCCGUCCCGGGGCGGCCGCGGGGCUAUAAAUAACGACAAUAAUAAUAACCAGCCCGGGCCGCGAGGGCGAGCGCGACCGCAGGGCUGAGGCCAGGGCCCGGGUUGGGGUGUCUCCGCGCAGGCUCCCCGGAUGGAGGGCGCCGUGCUGUGGGCGUCGUCGCUGUGGCUGUGGCUGUCGCUGUCGCUGCUGCGGGGCCCGGGCGGCCAGGGCCUGUCCUGCAACGUGACCGCGGUGGACUGGGCGGCGGAGUUCGAGGCCGAGUGCCUGAACCUGAGCGGCCUGGGCGUGCGCCCCCCGCGCAACGGCUCCCUGCGCGCGCGCCGCCUGGCGCUGCUCGACCUGUCGCGCAACGGGCUGCGGGAGCUGCCGCCGCCCGGCUUCUUCGCGCAGCUGCCGG
rnacentral:lncRNA from 1 species